UUGCCCUUAGCUCAGUGGUUAGAGCGCCUGUCUGUUAAACAGGAUGUCACCAGUUCAAAUCUGGUAGGGUAAGCCA
rnacentral:tRNA from 1 species